UACAGAGGGUGCGAGCGUUGCUCGGAAUUAUUGGGCGUAAAGCGCGCGUAGGCGGCUACUUAAGUCGGAUGUGAAAGCCCUUGGCUCAACUGAGGAAGUGCACCCGAAACUGAGUGGCUAGAGUACGAAAGAGGGUCGCGGAAUUCCCGGUGUAGAGGUGAAAUUCGUAGAUAUCAGGAGGAACACCUAUUGCGAAGGCAGCUCGCUGGGACGUGACUGACGCUGAGACGCGAAAGCGUGGGGAGCAAACAGG
rnacentral:rRNA from 1 species